rnacentral:rRNA from 1 species
GACGAACGCUGGCGGCGUGCUUAACACAUGCAAGUCGAACGGUAAGGCCCUUCGGGGUACACGAGUGGCGAACGGGUGAGUAACACGUGGGUGAUCUGCCCUGCACUUCGGGAUAAGCCUGGGAAACUGGGUCUAAUACCGGAUAGGACUCCGGACUGCAUGGUCUGGGGUGGAAAGCUUUUGCGGUGUGGGGUGGGCCCGCGGCCUAUCGGCUUGUUGGUGGGGUGAGGGCCUACCAAGGCGACGACGGGUAGCCGGCCUGAGAGAGUGACCGGCCACACUGGGACUGAGAUACGGCCCAGACUCCUACGGGAGGCAGCAGUGGGGAAUAUUGCACAAUGGGCGCAAGCCUGAUGCAGCGACGCCGCGUGAGGGAUGACGGCCUUCGGGUUGUAAACCUCUUUCAGCACCGACGAAGCGCAAGUGACGGUAGGUGCAGAAGAAGGACCGGCCAACUACGUGCCAGCCGCCGCAGUAA